CAGUCCUUUGACGGGUCUCACAUGUACAUUAUUGAUCUGGAAUGAAGGUAAUUUUCUUUUACCUGACAUUUUGGCUCCUGGCAAGCUCUCCACUGGCUUCAGUGUGUUCUGCCUCACCAGCCUUCUGAGAAUCACACCAGCAUGGGAACAGAGAGCAGGCUUUUCCUUUUUUUUUCUUUUCUUUUUUUUUCUCAGCUGUUGCUCAUGCUUUUAUUGCCUCCUUCCUGUUUUCCUCUUCCUCCUCCCUGAGUUUUGCUGUGCAACUCAGGCUGGUCUGGGGCAUCUCUGUACCGAAGCCUCCCAACUACUGAGAUUACAAGCUUCUACCACUAAGACUGGACUUCGAGACUUUCUUAACAAGUUGUGAAACCUGUGGUGUUCCUACCUAAAGGGCCUUCAACUGCUUUGCUUCACGGACAUGGUCAGAAGUAACUACUAGUCUCCAGGUCCAGGCCUGAAGAUACUGGCAGCUUCUGCUUAUCUCUCAGAUGACUUCCUCUGUGGGAAAGUUACACCUUCCUGAGGAAAUGAUUAAGGCAUUGGAGAGAUUGAGAAAGUCAUUUGAGGUCACAGCCUGCACAAGAGGGAACAUAUCACCCAGGGGUAGAGGAAGUACACGAAGACAUUCAGCCGACACACCAAUCUGAGAGAAGCAAGGGUUUGGAUAUCCAUUGGAUCGCUUCUUCCAAGGUGUCAAUGGAGGCCAAAAGAGAACAUUGGAUCCCUUGGAGCUGGAAUUACAGGUGGCUGUGAACUUUGAACUCGACUGGGGUCCUUUGGAAGAACAGUGCAUGCUCCCAACUACUGAACCAUCUUUUUAGCGCUGAGACCAGGACUUUCUUGAAAGCAACUUCUGCUGGGCAUCAGGCCUCUCUGUCAGUCGAGUGCUGCACCUGUGUGCUUGCCUAUCACCGCCCGUGUCAUUAGGGAGACUGCUUAGCUCAGCUGCAGAAGAAUCCUAGUCCUUAGCACCUUUGGUGUGAAGUCCUGCUGGGCCAAGUGGGUUUCCAAGGAGCUGUUUCUAGCCAAGUCUCCAUAUGCCUGGUGGGUAGGUGUAGAAACCCGAGGAAGGCUUGGCAGGGGAUCUGCAGUGGGAACUGUUACAACCCAAACAAUCACCGUGUACACAGUGCUUCACAUUGUCUCUUGCAUUUACCUGGAAACAGUCACUGGAAACUACAAGACUGUGCAACCCCUAGAAAUGGCUAUGCUACCGAAAAUGCCCGGGACUUGCUGGACAGCUUGCUAUAGUGUCUUCUAGGCAUCUGAAAAGCCACUGAGUAUUUAAAGUGUCACCUCAAGGGAAACAUACCCAGCCAGUCUUUCCACUAGUGAACUGAAACAAAGAUUUUUGGUCAUCUGACUGACCUCCUAGUGCCUUGUUCUGAACUCCACAACUCGGUUUCUUUCUAACGAGUUUUCAGUUCAAGGUCAGAUGCAGUUUGGAAGGAAGCAUUCCUCACAAGCCAGGUGUAAGGACACGUGCUUUGUGAGAGCCUCAGCCUUUGGACUCCAUUCUGGACUUUGACCGCUGUGUGGAGUGCUAGAGAAAUGUGGCCAGGCUGACUCACUACACAGGCUCCCAGACAGUGAGUGGGCAGAACUCGCCUGGAUAGAACCUGGCAAGCUUGGACUUGACCACUGACUGACUCUGCAGUAGCAGAGAAGGCAGCGACAGUAACCACAGGAGCCCCCACCCUAGAUCUUCAGGGGCAGCAUCUCUCUACUUUCUUCUGCUGUGGGUCACCUCUGAUGCCUGCCAAGCUUUCUCACUAUCCUCAAGAGCCCAGACUGUUGGGCCUCAUCCACAGUAGAUGCUGGAAUCAUUGAUGCCCAGGGUGGCUGUGUCAGUUUUUCCCUGGUUCUGUAAUGUCUAUCCCUGGUCACUCUGGGCAGCCAGGUGGGCAAUGAGUGGCCAAGUGUAGGAGAGAGGACACAGGAGGCCAAAAAAGAAAUGGGUGCAUGAACCUGGGUCUGAGGGCUUAGCUGAUGAACACUGAACUUCUGGGAUUUAAGCAUUCCAGACUGUGUUGCUACAGGAUCUUUAGCUCCUUUGAGAAAAUAAAAACAUUCCUACUGUGGACUUCUUAGAACCCAG
ensembl:lncRNA